rnacentral:rRNA from 1 species
ACGAACGCUGGCGGCGUGCUUAACACAUGCAAGUCGAACGGUGACCUCGAGAGCUUGCUCUUGGGUGAUCAGUGGCGAACGGGUGAGUAACACGUGAGUAACCUGCCCCAGACUCUGGAAUAACCCCGGGAAACCGGAGCUAAUACCGGAUACGAAGUGGAGCCGCAUGGCUACUACUUGGAAAGUUUUUCGGUCUGGGAUGGACUCGCGGCCUAUCAGCUAGUUGGUGAGGUAACGGCUCACCAAGGCGACGACGGGUAGCCGGCCUGAGAGGGCGACCGGCCACACUGGGACUGAGACACGGCCCAGACUCCUACGGGAGGCAGCAGUGGGGAAUAUUGCACAAUGGGCGAAAGCCUGAUGCAGCGACGCCGCGUGAGGGAUGACGGCCUUCGGGUUGUAAACCUCUUUCAGCAGGGAAGAAGCGAAAGUGACGGUACCUGCAGAAGAAGCACCGGCUAACUACGUGCCAGCAGCCGCGGUAAUACGUAGGGUGCGAGCGUUGUCCGGAAUUAUUGGGCGUAAAGAGCUUGUAGGCGGUUUGUCGCGUCUGCCGUGAAAAUCCGAGGCUCAACCUCGGACUUGCGGUGGGUACGGGCAGACUAGAGUGUGGUAGGGGAGACUGGAAUUCCUGGUGUAGCGGUGAAAUGCGCAGAUAUCAGGAGGAACACCGAUGGCGAAGGCAGGUCUCUGGGCCACUACUGACGCUGAGAAGCGAAAGCGUGGGGAGCGAACAGGAUUAGAUACCCUGGUAGUCCACGCCGUAAACGUUGGGAAAUAGGUGUGGGUUUCAUUCCAC